rnacentral:rRNA from 1 species
GGACCCGCACAAGCAGUGGAGCAUGUGGUUUAAUUCGAUGAUACGCGAGGAACCUUACCAGGGCUUAAAUGGGAAAUGACAGGGGCAGAGACGCCCCCUUCUUCGGACAUUUUUCAAGGUGCUGCAUGGUUGUCGUCAGCUCGUGCCGUGAGGUGUCAGGUUAAGUCCUAUAACGAGCGCAACCCCUACCGUUAGUUGCCAGCGAUUCAAGUCGGGGACUCUAACGGGACUGCCGGUGCAAACCGUGAGGAAGGUGGGGACGACGUCAAAUCAUCACGGCCCUUACGUCCUGGCUACACACGUGCUACAAUGGUCGGUACAGAGGGAAGCUACCCCGCAAGGGGAUGCGGA